AUGGCCGAGAUGGCCAUGAGGCUGAAGAAGGUUGCUGACCGUUGCAAGCUUCUUGAAAAAGAAGAUCGGGCGAAACGGACGAACCUGAAGAAGGUCGUCGCCGAUGCCAAGGAUGCUCGCUCUGCGGUGAGAGCUAUGAAGGAGGAGCUGCGUCAGGCCGGAGAGAUCGCGGCUGGAAAGCCCUUUAUGCUGCGGAGGAAGUUCUAUGAUCCUAAACAUGCUCCGUUAGACCAGAUGUGGAGUACGGCGGACACCUAUCUGGAUUUAGCAGCGAGUGCCACAGAUGCGGCCGAACACUUCCAAGAUCAAGAAGAUCGCGAAGUGGAACAGCUCUUCUGGUCGCAGUUCCACAAUCCAGGGCGUCCAUUGUCAUUAGCCGAUCGUUUGGCCGAAUGGGCCGAGCUAAAUAGGUUGUCCGGACUCACCAUAAAGUAUGUCAUGAAUCAUCUGUGGCCAGAGAGGCCAGAGCCGAAAAGUUAUUUCAACUUGGUGCAGUAG
rnacentral:rRNA from 1 species